GUCAUCACGUACCUUUGCAACGUUGCCACGCUCCGAGUAGGCGGGCGGAAAUAGGCAGGUGAAACAACAGCAUUUUCUGGAAUGUUCUACUUACUGCUGCUUACCACAGCCUUAGGGAGGCUAUCCAGAGAAACUCAGUGAUUAUUGAGUGGGUCAAAUGAAAUGACAUGAACUUUCCACAAUGAAAGAAGAGGACGAAGAGAAGCAAGAAAGACGCAAUAAGGGAAGAAGAGGCAGAAGCAAUUCAAAGCACUAGAAGGACUCAACUUGUCUUUGUUGGUUUUGAAGAUAAAAGAAAGGGCCACACACUAAAGUAUGCAGGUGGCCUCUAGAAGCUAGGAAUGGCCUUCAGUUGACAUCAAGGAAACCAGUCUCAGUCCUAUAACCUUGAGGUACUGAAUUCUGCAACCACCCCAAUGAGCAAGGGUUACAGAUUCUCCCCUAGAGUAGUGCAGCCCUGCUAACACCUUGAUUUUUCUUUCAUGUGACCCACACAAAACCUGUAACCUAAAAAAAGUAAGAUUAGAGAAAAAAGAAAUGUAAGAUAAUAAAUACAUUGGUUUGAGCUAUUAAUUUGAGAGAGUUUUUUAUGACAGUAUAUUAAUGUCAUUACAAAAUACCACGAAUUGGGUGACUUAAACAAUACAAAUGUAUUGUCUCACACUUCUGUGCAAAAUCGAGUUGUCGACAGGAUUGGUUCCUUCUGAGGAUAGUGAGAGAAAGAGCUAUUCCAGGUCUCCCCUUGGUCUCCAUUUUCUCCCUGUGUCCUCAGGUCUUCUUCCCUUUGUACAUGCCUCUGUGUCCAAGUUUUCCCCUUAAUCAGGAUACCAGUCAUACUCACCUCCAUGACCUCUUUUACUUGAUUAUGUCUGCAAAUAUUCUAUCUCCAAAAAAGGUCAUAUUCUAAGAUACUAAGGUUAGGGAAUCACUAGGUAUUUUUAUUUGUAAUUUUUAUAUAUUUUAUAUAAAUCUUAUUUUUAAAUUAUAUAUUAUGUAUGAGAUCAUAUACAGUCAUGUGCUGUGUAAACAGAUUAUAUUACCUAGUGAUAUUGUAGCCAUCCUUAGGUGAUUUUAUAAUAAGCAUACUCUGUGAUGUUGGUACAAUGGCAAAAUCACCAAAAGAACCAUUUCUCAGAAUGUGUCUCCAUCACUAAGUGACACAUGACAAUAUAUACAUUUAUAUGUCUAUAUAUACAUAUUUUACACCAGGAACACCAACUCAGAGGACCUAAAAGCAAUAGUAUUCAUGCAGUAAUGAGCCUAUUUAGUACCUUGAUCUUGAUUUGCAAAUAUUUCCCACUAAGGAAUCAGAACUCUUUGAAGAAAUAACUGUUUCUAUUUCUAAUGCAGGGAGAACACAAGUAAGCCUGGGGAGUCUUAGUGUGCCAAAAAGAAAGGAAAUGCUUAAAGGAAAUGCUUAAAGAUUAAUGGGGUUAUGUCAAAAGGACACAUGAUCCUGUUUGAAGGGGUUCCUGCUGAUCACGUUUGGGCUAAUUUGAACAUCAAGAAGAAAAUGACAGUAAUGGAUUAUAAUCCAUUGAAUCUUUUUAAAGUUCAUGAGUCAUACUAAAAAAGAAACAAAGAAAGAAAGAAAGCACUUUUAAAAAAAAUUUUCCUCAUAUAUGUAGCUCACAAAGUAGUAACUGAGCCAGGUAAGGAUUGCCAACAGAUACUAACUUCUGAGUAAAAGGUUUUUGUAUUAGGAUAUUUACACAGCAUCAAUAUAUUGCCCCACAAAUUAUUUAACAACUGCAAAGGUAUAAAGUCACCUUUUAAAUGCAGUUACUACUUGAAAUAACCACUGUGUCACUAAUAGAACAACCUGACAUUAUGCAGGCCUUUUGAUAAGAGGCAUACGUAAUAUGAGGUAUACCCAUGGAUAUAUUUGACUUGAAUCUAACCAUACAAAUUCAGAAUGUGGCACAUUCAAUAGACAAUUGGCCUGGAGUCUUCAAAAGAAGUAGAGAGUAGAAUAGUGGCUUCCAGAAGCUGAGGGGAAGGGGCUGAGGAAUGGGAAGAAGUUAAAAGGCACAAUAUUCUAAUUAAUCAGGAGGAAUACAUUUUCAAGAUUUAUUGCACAGCAAGUUAGCCACAGUUAAUAAUAAUGUGUUGCAUAUUGCAAAAUCACUAAAAUUAUAUAUUUUAUUAUGUUCUCACUUUAAAAAUCACAAAAUGAUGUAUGAAGAGAUGGCUAUGUUAAGUCAGCUUGAUAUGGUUAUUACAGAAUGUAUACAUAUGUCAAAA